UGGAUAUUGAAAUUUGAAAGUUAUGUAAGAGUACAAAGGACCUAGAAAAGCAAAAAGAAAAUAAAGUGUUGGAAGACAUUUAGUACCUAAUUUUAAGACUUCCUCUAAAGCUAAAAUAAUCAAGGCAGUGUUGAUGUAAGGAAAGACAUAAAGAUCAUUGGAAUAAAACAGAGAAUCUAGAAAUAGAACCACACAUAUAUGGUCCACUGAGGUUUGAAAGAUUAUUUAACAUUAACAUUUUAUAGAGUAUGAACUCAAUUCAAGAGCUGAGGAAAAGAUAGUGUUUUCAGCAAAUGGCACUAGAAUACCUGGUAUCUGAAUAUAAAAAAAUUAACCUCAACCCUUUAUUUCCAUAUAUAAUAAUAACUUGAAAGGAUCUAUGAAUCUAAAUAUGAAAGAUUAAAACUAUAAACUUUAAGAAGAAAUUAUAAGGGAAAAUGUUUAUGAAUUUAGGGUAGACAAGUACUUCCUAGGAUACAAAAAACAUGAUGUAUAAAAGAAAAAAUUUGAUAAAUGAGAUUGCAUCAAAAUUUAGAACUUUAAAUGACAUUGUUAAAAUGAAAAGUAGUCCUUAAACACACCAUAUUUCCAAUGCAUAUAACCUAUGAGCAGAAUAUAUAAAGAACUCUUACAGCUCAUUAAUAGACAACCCAAUUAAAAAGUAGACACAAGAAGAUGAUGAAUAGCCAGUACAACAAAAGGAAAGGUGUGAAACACUAGAAUCAGAAAAAUGCUAAUCAGUACGGUAACAAGAUUGAAUUAUACACUCAUUAGGGAGAUGAAGUCAAAAGUUUUAAAAGCCUUGUCAUGACUUUUUCUUUUUGUUGGAUUCUCCCCCUUUGCAUUCAAUUCCUCACACCCAAUGGAUUCGUUCUGCUGGGCUUCCUGAGGUUGUGAUCUUCAUUGUCUUUUCCUAGGAUAUUGUCUAAAAUUUUUUGGAGUGUGGGUUUGGUAUUCAUCAAGUUCCUAAAAUGCUCUUUGUCAUGAAAGUAUCUUAUUUCUCUAUCAAUUUUGAAAGAUAGUUUUGCAGGGUACAUCAAUCAGGGUUGGAGGCUGUUUUCCUUUAGGGCUUGAAAUACAUCACUCUAAGCUCUUCUUAUCUUGAUGGCUUGUGUUGAGAAGUCUGCUGUGAUUCUGAUGAGCUUUCCUUUGUAUGUGAUUUGUUUCUUUCACUGAUUGUGGAAUUUUGUUCUUCUGUUGGGUUUCUGGAAUCCUAACAAUGAUAUGCCUAUGUGUGGAUUUUUUUUCAUCAAGGCUAGUUGAAGUCCUAUAUACCUCAUUUAUCUGUAUGUCAGGUUCUUUUCCCCUGCUUGGGAAGUUUUCUGCCAUCACUUCUGUGAACAGUUUUUUUAUGUCAUUUGCACUCUCUCCUCUUUCUUCAUUGACUCCAAUCAGUCUUAUGUUAUUCUUCUUUGCAUCGUGUAGCAGCUGCUGGAUUGCUUUCUCAUGGUCCCUUACAAUUUUAAAGCAAUUUUUCUUUUCCUGGUCACUAAUUGCAAUCUCAUCUUCUAUAUUUGAAAUUCUGUCCUCAUAUUGGCUCAUUCUGCUGCUUAGACUUUCAAUGGAGUUUUUAAUGUCCUGGAAAUCUAUUUGCAUCUGUUUUAUGGAUUCCAUUUGUUUCCUAUGUUGGGAUUCCAUCAUGUUCCUCAGCUCCUCUAUUUUUUUUAUCUGUGUCCUCUCUAGAUUUAUUAAUCAUGUCUUGCACUAUGGGCACAAUCUUUGCUCUUAUCUGAGAAAUUAUUUCUGGUUUUAUUUUUUCCAGAUCCUCUUUUGUUGCCAGUUCAUGGAGCCCAGGUGGUUGCGCAUCAGAUUUUUCCAUCUUGUUUCCCUUUGGAGUUGCUGUAGGUGAUCUGGAAGUCUGUUUUUGAGGCUUGUUUAUGUGUCUUCUCAUUUCCCCAGGGGAUAAGGGUGUGUGCUGCUGGUGCCCGUGCUGCUCACCUCCUCUGCCCUAGGAGUGGUGGAAUGGCAGCGGGAAGCCUCCUCCUGGGCGCUGGGAUUGGCUCACCUCCUCUGCCCUGGGAAUGGUGGAAUGGUUAACUCAUUUCUAAUACUUUGAAAUAUUUGAUUUGAGAUGUUUGGCAUGAAAAGCCCAUUAAAUAAAUGUCAAAUUCCAUUUUAACAUAAACCAUACACUAAAGGGUUUGAUGCUCUUAAUUUUUCCUUGAUUAACUCUGUGUUUUCCCAGGCUCGAAAUAUGACUCUCUAUGGAAGAUUCAAGUUACUUAGGGCUGGGACCCUUGUGUGUGACCAUGAAAUUUGCAGACCUCUUCUUGAUUGAUCACUUCAUAGAACGUCAUACUUUUUGACUUGUAAGAUUUGUAAAUAUAUUUUCUGUUGAUUUUUAAAGACUGUCAUAUUAUCUCAAAACAACUGAUAGAAUCUCACUAUAUUUAAAAUUACAUUUUCUAUUAAAAGGUAUGGGUCUUUUUUUGAAUGUGAUUCUGCAUGUUUUCAUAGUCUUAAGAUGUUACAGCUUUGAUGAAUAUUAAAAAUGAUAUCCAGUUAAAUUUUGAAUACCUCACUCAGCUUUUUCUGACUUGCUGUCAAGUUUAUGAAAAUGUUCUAAAAACAAAUAAGCAAGUGUUCAUGCACAAUUGAAAAAUUUCAUAUUCACGUGUCUCCAUUUCACCCACCCCGAACUAUAACUUUUGUUGGUAUAGACAGAGAUGUAUUGAAACUCCUUUUACCAAUUUGAAGAUUAUUUUGGAGAUGUAAACCAAUAUUUUUAAGAAAUCAAGGUAAGAAAAGCAAAAUUUCUAAAUCUACAAUGGAUUAUAUUAAAAGGGAUAGAUUUCAAUAUUUCUUGGUGGGAAUCUUCUACAAGCUAUAGUGCUUAAAGAGAAAAUUCUGGCUUCUAUAUCCAACUAGAUUUUCUUUCAGGAUUCAUUCAACAAACAUUUCUUGGACUCCUUUUAUGUGUCAAGCAUGAUUUCAGGUGAUUUGAGAUAUGUGAGUGAACCAAAUAAGAAAAUACAGAUUCUGUGACCAUUAAGUGUGAGAUGUCAGCUUGACCAGAUUAAGACAUGCCUAGAAGAAUAACAAAGCACAGUUCUGGCCUUUCAGGCAUGAAAUGGAAUGAAGAAAGUUGGCCUAUGACUUUGAAGAGCUCCAGUCUGCUUGAGCCCACAGCCUCUCCACCCUGACCUGGAGGAUUUGAUGACCUUCAGAAUUCAGAGCAUAUUGAUCUACUUCAUAGGCAACAAAUGCUGAAGCCCUGUCUGCUAAUGUGACUUCAGAAGGUUGAAUAUGGAUUUGGAAAGAAUUACCAGCUGCUCACAAAUGUUUUAUAAAUGAUCUGAAACGCAGACACAGAGAAGAAAGACGCUCAGGGUGGGCUUUUGUGUGCACCUGUGCCUAUCUUGAGGCACAAGUCAUAUCCUUUGUGUUUUAUCUGGCUCUGUAGUACCCUGGGUCCUUAUCAGACAGUGCCAUGCAUGGAAAAUUAGCAAAAGUGACAGGAAAACAGAAAAUGUCAAGGAUAGGAAAACAAUUCUCUUUGUACAUUUACACAUUUUCUCUGUUAAGCAUAUAUUAAUCAUUAAGCCUGUUACUCUCCCAUAGUACCAAGAAUGUAG
rnacentral:lncRNA from 1 species